UACGAAGGGGGCGAGCGUUGUUCGGAAUCACUGGGCAUAAAGGGUGCGUAGGCGGCGCGGUAAGUCGGGUGUGAAAUCUUGGAGCUUAACUCCGAAACUGCAUUCGAUACUGCCGUGCUUGAGGACUGGAGAGGAGACUGGAAUUUACGGUGUAGCGGUGAAAUGCGUAGAUAUCGUAAGGAAGACCAGUGGCGAAGGCGGGUCUCUGGACAGUUCCUGACGCUGAGGCACGAAGGCCAGGGGAGCAAACGGG
rnacentral:rRNA from 1 species